AAUAGGAAAGGCCACCGACUUCUGAACAGGAAAUGUGUAACAGACAUCACAACAAGAGCACAAGAAACAUAGGAGCUCUCCAUAUGAGUUGUGAUUGAAAUAUGAAGUAGAAAUAGAUGGUGCACUACCCAGGUUCUCUACACAGAUGUCAAAGUUCGACAAUUAUGGUCUUCCCAAAUCCCGUGGAACAAGCAUUCCACAUGAAGAUGGUAUUCCACGAUUCAAUCGAGGAACGAGAAAUCAUACUUCACUUCCUCCUCCUCCUCCUAUUGUUCUCCCCAACCUACAAGAUCGAAGAAUUGAAAGGUUCAAUAUCACUAAAGCCCUAUUGGAAAUGAAAUAUGAAGAUGGUAAACCCGUGUGUGCCCACGUUCUAGGAAUGAAAUCACACAUUGAUAGGUUGAUAAUGUUGGGUGUGUCAUUCCCAGAUGAGUUGGCUGUAAAUUGGGUUUUGCAGUCACUUCCCGAAUCAUAUAAUGAGUUCAAAAGAAAGUAUUAUAUGAUGGAUCAUGACGACAACCUCAUUGAUCUAACUUACAUGCUCAUUGCUGCUGAAUCAGAAAUGAUUUGGUGAAGCAAUGGAGCGUAUUUGUUGGGAAAGUCAACCAACCAUGCUUCUGAGGACGAUCUAGGAGAACCGACCUGCGUUUGCUGCCAAAAGAAAGGGCGUUGGAUACAAGUCUGCCCAAAGAGCCUGAAGAGUCCAGAAGAUGGGAGAGUCAAAAAGUAUGGCUAUGCUUCAGGAUCGGUGAAAAGAAGGGAAGCUUGGUGAAAGAACAAGAUGAAUCUAAUCACAAGGAAUGGAUCUUGAUCGCAUGGACUUGAAGAUUAGAUUUUGAGCUUAGAUAGUUAUGAUAGAGUUGUUAGAAUUUUUCUUUUGAAAUACAUAGUUUUCGAUGGAUUUUGCAAGGACAAAUGUUUUCCGCUGCUUUUAUAAAUAAAAUAAAUUUUCGUUUGACUUAUU